rnacentral:rRNA from 1 species
AGUGGGUGUAACGUACCUACUAGCCUACGACGGGUACGGGUUGUGAGAGCAAGAGCCCGGAGAUGGAUUCUGAGACACGAAUCCAGGCCCUACGGGGUGCAGCAGGCGCGAAAACUUUACAAUGCGGGAAACCGUGAUAAGGGAAUCUCGAGUGCCAGCAUAUAAUGUUGGCUGUCCAGAUGCCUAAAAAGCAUCUGUUAGCAAGGGCCGGGCAAGACCGGUGCCAGCCGCCGCGGUAACACCGGCGGCCCGAGUGGUAACCGUUAUUAUUGGGUCUAAAGGGUCUGUAGCCGGCCAUGUAAGUCCCUUGGGAAAUCUGGCAGCUCAACUGUCAGGCUGCCAGGAGAUACUGUCUGGCUCGAGGCCGGGAGAGGUGAGAGGUACUUCAGGGGUAGGGGUGAAAUCUUGUAAUCCUUGAAGGACCACCAGUGGCGAAGGCGUCUCACCAGAACGGACCUGACGGCAAGGGACGAAAGCUAGGGGCACGAACCGGAUUAGAU